GACAGAGGAUGCAAGCGUUAUCCGGAAUGAUUGGGCGUAAAGCGUCUGUAGGUGGCUUUUUAAGUCCGCCGUCAAAUCCCAGGGCUCAACCCUGGACAGGCGGUGGAAACUACCAAGCUGGAGUACGGUAGGGGGCAGAGGGAAUUUCCAGUGGAGCGGUGAAAUGCGUAGAUCUUGGAAAGACCACCAAUGGCGAAGGCACUCUACUGGGCCAUUACUGACACUAAGAGACGAAAGCUAGGGGAGCAAAUGGG
rnacentral:rRNA from 1 species